CUUCUUCCCGUGGCUAAGAAUCAACCCUCAUUAACUAUUUACUCUUAGUAAUAAUUUAUGCCACGUAUGAAUAAACAAAAAUAAGUUCUGAGGUAUGAUACAGUAACCUGCGCCCUUCCUUGGCUUCUUGCAUGUCUUUGCUCAACUCCCUUAACUGUGCUUUAAGCCUCUAACGUGUAAAAGGGAGUUAAAGUAUUUAAAGAUACUCGUGAGCCAUGUGAGAAACUGCUCUGAUAGCUGUUCUAAAACCUGUCUUCAAGUAUUUCUUCUCUCCAGCCUUUUAAUUUGGCUCGGUGCUUGGCAAGGAUCACGCUACCACAUGCCUCUGUUAUAUGCAAUACUCUUCCCUGCAGAACACCUGAUCUCAUUUCGAAGGACAGUUUACUGGCCCCAGGUGAUGUUCCCACCCUACUGAACGGAGAUUUCCAGUUGAUCUAUAGUUGCAAGCCCCAGGAUUAUCCUCUCUUCUGCUUUCCCUCAUCGUGAUUUUGUGCUGCGCAGUGCAAAUUCCAGCCAUCUUCAAUGGUAAAUAAUAAGCUGUACAUUUGCACAAAGUUAGGAUGGCACCAUAAAAAUCAUGCCCAUCUUAGGGGUGCAGUUGGAUUCAUACACAUUUACAUUGGCAAGAGCAAACAGUCUGACUUCUUGCCUAAUUACUUAAUUAGUGAGAUAUCUGGAAACAGCUGUUCCUGACUGCCAGCAAGGUAAUGCACUCCAGGAAACCUCUGGGGUGGCCACUCAGAAAGCACAUCAGUAAUUUAUCUCCAGUGUGUCGAAGCAACUUUUUUUUUCUUCAAAUGUAACUUUGCAGGUUCUUCCCUUUGUCUAGGGUGCCCCGCUAUCAGCCACUGUGUGAGAGGAGGGGUACACACAUGGUACACAAGAGUGUGUGGCUAUGCACAGCUAUUCUAUAUAACCAUAGCAACAGGAGAAAGAGGCAAUGGUGCCUCAGCAUGUGAAGACACACCCCUCUAUUCCCUCCUGGUGACAUCAGGGUUCUGCACAGCAGUUACUAUCUGAUUUUAGAGAAUUCUUUUUGGGGAACAGGUCCUACCACCUCCUUUACCCACGCAUGCACAUUUCAGAGAAACGGGAGCUUAAAGACAGAACAAAGUGAAAUAUCCUGCCACUCAGCUACAGAGCAGUCUCCAGGUUCAAACCCUCUCCUGAAAGGAAUCAUGCUCUUGGCACAAGUAUCUCUUGUGAUACCACUUUUGAUGACACAUUGGGACAUCGUGCUUCAGCUACUGUAUUUGGGGAAAGCUUCUCAAAAGCUCGUGUCUGCCAACAGUGAAACAGGCUGGACCAUUACCAUUCCCAUUCCCACAGCAGGCUGGGAAGGGAAGAACCUGCUUUCCAAAUCAGCGUUGUGGCACACGGCCUCACCACAUGGCAGGAGCUCAAACACAAGCUGUGCAACAUCCCCGUUUCCCAGGAGGGCUGUUUCCAGUUGCUGCUCAAUGUUUCUAACAAUCAAAUGGAUCAAUUCUGAAGACACCUUAAGUCUGUGUGUUAA